UACUUAUCAAGAAAGGUGGAGGGAAUUGGCCCUAUGAUACCUUAGCAACCCUCUUAUAUGAGUAGGUGCUGCAUCCAACCGUAAAGGAAAGAUAAGUC
rfam:Bacteroidetes bacterium R-53146 genome assembly, contig: Ga0061079_107